rnacentral:tRNA from 1 species
GAAAAUCCGUCGACUUUAAAAAUCGUGAGGGUUCAAGUCCCUCUAUCCCCAAAAAAGCCUAUUUGACUCCUAAAAUAUUUAUCCUAUCCCCUUUUUUC